AGGGUAUCCUGGUUGACCGGGCUGUCCAGGUUUCCCGGGUUGUCCUGGGUAUCCUGGCUGUCCUGGCUGUCCUGGUCCUCCUUGUUGUCCUGGCUGACCAGGUUGUCCUGGGUAUCCAGGUUGACCGGGCUGUCCUGGUUUGCCGGGUUGUCCGGGCUGUCCUGGUCCGCCUUGUUGUCCUGGUUGACCAGGUUGUCCUGGGUAUCCUGGUUGACCGGGCUGGCCUGGGUAGCCUGGUUGUCCUGGCUUACCCGGCUCUCCAGGUUGUCCAGGUUGUCCUGGGUAUCCUGGUUGGCCGGGCUGCCCUGGUUUGCCGGGUUGUCCGGGCUGGCCUGGGUAACCUGGUUGUCCAGGCUUACCUGGCUCUCCGGGUUGUCCGGGCUGUCCUGGGUAUCCUGGUUGUCCUGGCUGUCCUGGUCCUCCUUGUUGUCCUGGCUGACCAGGUUGUCCUGGGUAUCCUGGUUGACCGGGCUGUCCAGGUUUGCCGGGUUGUCCGGGCUGUCCUGGGUAUCCUGGUUGACCGGGCUGUCCAGGUUUGCCGGGUUGUCCGGG